UAUACCUGUAAUGAUCUUCCAAGAAUGAAGUUAAUGGAAAAACAGAUUAUAGAUAAAAAAUGAUAAUAUGUGUUAAUCGAAUAUCAUAAAAUAACAUUGUUUUCGUUGUCUAUGGAUAUAAACACCUGAGUGAUUAAGGCAGUCAAUUUUUGAACACAUUUCUAGAAACAAUUUAACAUAAAAUAAAAUCAUCUGACAUCGUUUUGCAAGCAUAGAGAAACAGAACAAAAGUUAAUUCAAUAGCUAAACAGAUUUCAAAGAAAAUAGAAAAUAAUAAAUUUUUUUAUUAAAGCAAAUACCUGCAAAGAGUUUAACUCUAAAGCUUGUAAAAAUAACAAUUAUUGGCUUGGGUAGCUGUUCUGAUGAAAGAGCAGAGAAGCUAUGCGCAACAUCUGACCAUAGUGUAAUCUUAGCCUCUUUAUUUCUGUAAAAGAAGAAGAAGAAGAACAACAACAAAGCUUUUUCCCACUAAGUGGGGUCGGCUAUAUGAAUCCUAGAACGCCAUUGCGCUCGGUUGUGUGUCAUGUCCUCCGUUAGAUCCAAGUACUCUAAGUCUUUUAUUAGGGUCUCUUCCAAAGUUUUCCUAGGUCUUCCUCUACCCCUUCGGCCCUGAACCUCUGUCCCGUGGUCACAUCUAACUAACAGUUUAAAGGAGAUGGAUACGUGUAAAAGAACUGUGCAUUACACAUAGUAAACUAAAAAAUGAAUGUACCAUUUGACAACAUAAAAUAGAAGAAUAAAGAGUUUAGAGAUCAAUUGUAUACAAUCUUUACUACAGAGAGUAUAAAAACCAUGUCAUGUGCAUUAAAACAAAUAACUCAUCCUUAACACAGAAGAUCAAAUGUUUAUAAACUAAUUUUACGAAAAAAUGAUCACUAACCUUUUCAUCAACCAAUAUACAAUGUAAGGUUGUAUAUUUAUCGCCCAUGCCUGGAUACUUUGGUUUCCAUAUUCUACAAACACACACUUUAAUUUUGACAACCAUUUAUAUGCCACCAAUUGGUCAAGUGGAGUUGGACCUUCAUCUUCCAUUUAAUCUAUACAAAUGAAAUACAAAAUUAAUCUUUUACACACACACACAUACACAAAGCAAGUGCUUCCUAAUCCAAAGAGUCAAUCACAAUAAAGCAGCAGAUUAGUGAAUAGUCAAUCAUGAUUUCUUUUGAGGCCAAAAAACCUCAUUAGUGAUGGUGAAUCAAUAUGGAAGUCGCUCUAGAUUAGCGAUGAUGAUUUUAAAAUGGACACUGAAGAGCCAUUCAUUGAACGAUGUAACUAUUAAAUCUGUUAAAUUGCAGCAGGAAAAGCUUAACAUACACUCUUAAAUUGAGAUGCUGGUCCAAGAGUCAUAAAUAGUUACCAAUAUGUAUUAUCAUCCGCAACAACUAUCAAAUUAAUUCUUUUGAUUACUUAGUUACCGACAUAGCUAUUAUUCCUGACAAACUAAUGAUGGUAAGUGAUUAUCUAUAAACAAACCCUUCUUCCAAUUGCUAUUUUCUUAGUUGCCAAAAUCUUCCACCACGACGAUAAAAAUAGCCAUAUUUUCAUGAAGGUAUACCCACUGUAUAUAGUUACACAUCUAAACCCAAAUCUGUAUACCACAUACGAAUGCCAAAUCAACUAAUUUGAAAAAAAAUAUUAAAGGUCAAGACCAAUAACAAACGGGAACUUUACAUUUCAUUGAAAUAUAAAUUGCAAGUUUAACAUGAAAACUAGACCAAUCUACACAAAAAUAACGUAAAAACUAAUUGAAAGUUUCUAAACGAAGGCAAAACCAACAACAACAACAACAAAGCCUUUUCCCACUAAGUGGGGUCGGCUAUAUGAAUCCUAGAACGCCAUUGCGCUCGGUUUUGUGUCAUGUCCUCCGUUAGAUCCAAGUACUCAAGUCUUUUCUUAGGGUCUCUUCCAAAGUUUUCCUAGGUCUUCCUCUACCCCUUCGGCCCUGAACCUCUGUCCCGUAGUCACAUUUUCGAACCGGAGCGUCAGUAGGCCUUCUUUGCACAUGUCCAAACCACCGGAACCGAUUUUCUCUCAUAUUUCCUUCAAUUUUGGCUACUCCUACUUUACCUCGGAUAUCCUCAUUCCCAAUCUUAUCAUUUCUCGUGUGCCCAUACAUCCCACGAAGCAUCCUCAUCUCCGCUACACCCAUUUUGUGUACGUGUUGAUGCUUCACCGCCCAACAUUCUGUGCCAUACAACAUCGCUGGCCUUAUUGCCGUCCUAUAAAAUUUUCCCUUGAGCUUCAGUGGCCUACGACGGUCACACAACACGCCGGAUGCACUCUUACACUUCAUCCAUCCAGCUUGUAUUCUAUGGUUGAGAUCUCCAUCUAAUUCUCCGUUCUCUUGCAAGAUAGAUCCUAGGUAGCGAAAACGGUCACUUUUUGUGAUCUUCGCUAGAUUGCUCCGGUCAUUAGUGUAGAUAAGUAUAUAAAUGGAUAGAGAUAGGAGAGCAAACACAAGAUGUACGUGGUUCACCCAGAUUGGCUACGUCCACGGAAUAGAGGAGUUCUCAUUAAUUGUGAAGGGUUUACACAAGUACAUAGGUUCAAGCUCUCCUUUAGUGAGUACAAGUGAAUGAUUUAGUACAAAUGACAUUAGGAAAUAUUGUGGGAGAAUGAUCUCGUAACCACGAAACUUCUAAGUACCGGAGUGUGGUAUCGUCUUGACUUGCCUUAUCUGUCUCAUAGGUACAUGUGGCAUAUUCUCUGGAAGUACUCUUCCUCCAUCCAGGGGUGGUAUCUGUAACUGGUGGAGAUGCACAAGGUAAUGUAUCAAUUUCACUUGAAGCUUACUUGUAGUUUCAGGCUUGGCCAAGUGCGAUACAAACCAUGUAGUAGGAGUCCCCCAAGUCGCCGAGCUAGGGGAUCUGCUGAAAGAGGUGACAGACAAGGUAAGCAAUCAGAGCUCCGGCUGAUUGUUCACAUUCUCCCUAUCUUGCAGGCAGCAUGAAGGAUAAAGAGAAGAAAAAUGAGAAGAGAUGAUAUGGGAUACUUUUGCUUUUGAAGAAGUAACUUUCCACAGGCUUAUUCUUGAACUGGGCUGGAGGGUUUUUUGGUUUCCUCCAGAGUAUAAGGCCGACUGAAGAAUUUGAGGGUCAAAACAAGUCCAUCAAAUCUAGUGUACGUUCGACCCUGCUGAUAUGGGAUACUUUUGCUUUUGACAGAGUAGUGGAUGUAUCGGCACGUGUGCUGUUACGCUUGUCUCCACAUGCUUCCUUGUAUCCUUCUCACUUGCCCUAUCUGUUCCUCAGGCAGAUGCGGUAUCUUCCCUGGAAGCAUAAGAUGUUGAAGAUGAGUACUCGAGAGCAAUGCCAGGUAAGUAAUCAGGUAAGGGGUUCCAGGCAGUCAGUUCCUGGCUGGAAGCUUGAUUCCAAGUGCUGACUGAUUGCUCUCUUUCUCCUUGUCUUGCAGGUAAGAACAAGGCCAAAGGAAAAGACAGGGAAAAAGCAUGAUAUGGGAUACUCUUGCUUUUAACCCUGAUGAUAUGAGAUAUUCUUGCUCUAGUAUAGCUUGUUUACAAAUGUAUUAUCGGGGGGAAAGAAAGCUGAAUAUUUCGAAAGGCUUCGUUGGGAGUGCCCUCUCAGAUAAGAGGAAGGGUUGAGCAUUUUUGCAGGUAUGCCUGUCCGUUGGGGAUGGAGGUCGACAUAUAUAGGAGUCUCCCUAACAUCAAGUAAUAAUGCUAUUCCUUUACCCUGCUUGAUCAUAGUACGGUAGUGGGAGCUGCCAGCUUCACAUGUUUUAACUCUGUCAGAGCACUUUGAAAAAGUGGUCUGUGGUAUCUGGAAAGCUGAUGUUGCGUGUGAAGAUUACAGAGAAGCUUUAUCCAAGGAGAUCCAGCUCCUGAAGUUGGGAAAGUGGUGCCUCUUCGGUUUUCGAACAAGCAAUCCUGUCGGGGAUCUGGCUCUCGAGAUUCGGAGAACGAUGCCUUUUCGAUUUUUGAGAAAAUAAUCCUGCUGGGGGUCUGGCUCUCGAGAUUCGGAGAGCGGUGUCUCUUCGAUUUUUGAGAAAGUAAUCAUGUUGGGAGUCCGGCUCUCGAGAUUCUGAGGGCGGUGCCUCUUCGAUUUUGGAGCAAGCAAUCUUGUUGGGAGUGUUUUCUCGAAUAUGAGUAAAGGUUGGGCAUGUUUGCUAGUCUACCUUGCCACGAAACACAGAGGUUGACACACAGGGACUUUCCAAUUAUCCAGCAGUGGUACUGUUCCUUUACCAUCUCUUCGAUUUUUUAGAAAGUAAUCAUGUUGGGAGUCUGGCUCUCGAGAUUCGGAGGGCGAUGCCUCUUCGAUUUUGGAGCAAGCAAUCUUGUUGGGAGUGUUUUCUCGAAUAUGAGUAAAGGUUGGGCAUGUUUGCUAGUCUACCUUGCCACGAAGCACAGAGGUUGACACACAGGGACUUUCUAAUUAUCCAGCAGUGGUACUGUUCCUUUACCUUCUCUUCAAUUUUUGAGAAAGUAAUCAUGUUGGGAGUCUGGCUCUCGAGAUUCGGAGGGCGGUGCCUCUUCGAUUUUGGAGCAAGCAAUCUUGUUGGGAGUGUUUUCUCGAAUGUGAGUAAAGGUUGGACAUGUUUUCUAGUCUACCUUGCCACAAAGCACAGAGGUUGACACACCGGGACUUUCCAAUUAUCCAGCAGUGGUACUGUUCCUUUACCCUUGUGGGUAAUAAUAUGGUAGCUAGACCUUCAAAAUUUAUGUGUCUAAACUUUGUUAGUGUUGUUUCUUUGCUAUUCUUUUACCCUUCUUGGUCAGAGCGAUGUAGUAGGAGCUGGAAGCUUCACGUGUCUCAACUUUGUCAGAGAACUUUGACAAAGUUAUCUGUGGUACCCAUGAGCUACUGUUGCGUGUGGGAAGUGGGUGAUUGAACAGUACGAUUCAUGUGCUUUUUACUUCGCCAGAAAUCUUCGACAGAAUGCCCAUAAUUUCCGCAAAGCUGAGUGUGCGUGUGACAGGUGCUGACAAGGCUGGAAAAGUAGGUGCCUCUUCGAUUUCUGAGAUCGGCCCUCGUGGUCUCUGAGCAGCCCAGCUUUUGAGAAAGCAAGCCUCUUCGAUUUCUGAGAUCGGCCGUCGUGGUUUUUGAGCAUCCCAGCUUUUGAGAAAGCAAACGCCUCUUCGAUUUCUGAGAUCGACCCUCGUGGUCUCUGAGCAGCCCAGCUUUUGAGAAAGCAAACGCCUCUUCGAUUUCUGAGCAGGCGCCUCUUCGAUUUCUGAAGCUUCGUCGAGUGCAGAUUUUUAUAGGGGCUGACAUUAAGUUCCAAAGCACACUUGAAUAUCCACCAGUAGAAGCUCCAUUCUUGCACUUCUAAGAUCUUGAUUUGUCCGACCUCUUCUCUCUUCAACACCUUUGAAAAUGUCUGGCCCCUCCGACCGUCGUUUUGACUUGAACCUUGUUGAAGAGGCAGCCCCACAUUCUCCAGACAACAUAUGGCGCCCAUCCUUCGUCUCCCCUACUGGUCCUCUUACCGUUGGGGAUUUCGUGAUGAAGAAUGAUAUGACCGCUGCGGUAGUGGCCAGGAACCUUCUCACUCCCAAAGAUAACAGACUACUUUCCAAACGGUCUGAUGAGUUGGCUGUUAAGGAUUCUCUGGCUCUCAGUGUUCAGUGUGCAAGUUCUGUGUCUAAUAUGGCCGAACGCCUAUUUGCUCGAACCCGCCAUGUUGAAUCAUUGGCGGCUGAAGUGAUGAGUCUCAAACAGGAGAUUAGAGGGCUCAAGCAUGAGAAUAAACAGUUGCACCGGCUCGCACAUGACUAUGCUACAAACAUGAAAAUGAAGCUUGACCAGAUGAAGGAAUCUGAUGGUCAGGUUUUACUUGAUCAUCAGAGAUUUGUGGGUUUGUUCCAAAGGCAUUUAUUGCCUUCGUCUUCUGGGGCUGUACCGCGUAAUGAAGCUCCAAAUGAUCAACCUCUGAUGCCUCCUCCUUCUAGGGUUCUGUCCAGUACUGAGGCUCCGAAUGAUCCCCCUCCGGUGCCUUCUCUUUCUGGGGCUCUACCGAUUGCUGAGACUUCUCCUAAGCAACCUUUGUGAAGGCUCCCUCUUGUUUGUUUAUUUUGACUCAAGUAUAUGUACAUAUUUGUAACUUAUCGGGGAUAUCAAUAAAUAAGCUUUCCUUCAUUUCAACGUAUUGUGUUAAAUACACCAAAGCCUUUUUCGCUAAGUUCUUUGAAUUUUCUUUUGUUGAAGCUUGUCUGUUGAAGCUUUGUGAGUGGAGCAUGUAGGUUGAGGUAGUGUUCCCUUAAUUUCCCGAGUGAGGAAAACUUCUCGGUUGGAGACUUGGAAAAUCCAAGUCACUGAGUGGGAUUGGCUAUAUGAAUCUUAGAACGCCAUUGUGUUCUGUCCUGUGUCAUGUCCUCCGUUAGAUCCAAGUACUCUAAGUCUUUUCUUAGGGUCUCUUCCAAAGUUUUCCUAGGUCUUCCUCUACCCCUUCGGCCCUGAACCUCUGUCCCAUAGUCGCAUCUUCUAAUCGGAGCGUCAGUAGGCCUUCUUUGCACAUGUCCAAACCACCGUAACCGAUUUUCUCUCAUCUUUCCUUCAAUUUCGGCUACUCCUACUUUACCCCGGAUAUCCUCAUUCCUAAUCUUAUCCUUUCUCGUGUGCCCACACAUCCAACGAAGCAUCCUCAUCUCCGCUACACCCAUUUUGUGUACGUGUUAAUGCUUCACCGCCCAACAUUCUGUGCCAUACAGCAUCGCCGGCCUUAUUGCCGUCCUAUAAAAUUUUGCCUUGAGCUUCAGUGGCAUACGGCGGUCACACAACACGCCGGAUGCACUCUUUCACUUCAUCCAUCCAGCUUGUAUUCUAUGGUUAAGAUCUCCAUCUAAUUCUCCGUUCUUUUGCAAGAUAGAUCCUAGGUAACGAAAACGGUCGCUCUUUGGUAUUUCUUGAUCUCCGAUCCUCACCCCUAACUCGUUUUGACUUCCAUUUGCACUGAACUUGCACUCCAUAUAUUCUGUCUUUGAUCGGCUUAGGCGAAGACCUUUAGAUUCCAACACUUCUCUCCAAAGGUUAAGCUUUGCAUUUACCCCUUCCUGAGUUUCAUCUAUCAACACUAUAUCGUCUGCAAAAAGCAUACACCAAGGAAUAUCAUCUUGAAUAUGUCCUGUUAACUCAUCCAUUACCAACGCAAAAAGGUAAGGACCUAAGGAUGAGCCUUGAUGUAAUCCUACAGUUAUGGGAAAGCUUUCGGUUUGUCCUUCAUGAGUUCUUACGGCAGUCUUUGCUCCUUCAUACAUAUCCUGUAUAGCUUGGAUAUAUGCUACUCGUACUUCUUUCUUCUCUAAAAUCCUCCAAAGAAUGUCUCUUGGGAUCCUAUCAUACGCUUUUUCCAAAUCUAUAAAGACCAUGUGUAAAUCCUUUUUCCCAUCUUUAUAUCUUUCCAUCAAUCUUCGUAAGAGAUAGAUUGCCUCCAUGGUUGAGCGCCCUGGCAUGAACCCGAAUUGGUUGUUCGAAAUCCGUGUCUCUUGCCUCAAUCUAUGCUCAAUGACUCUCUCCCAGAGCUUCAUUGUAUGACUCAUUAGCUUAAUACCUCUAUAGUUCAUGCAAUUUUGUACAUCGCCCUUAUUCUUGUAGAUAGGCACCAAAGUGCUCGUUCGCCACUCAUUUGAUCUGAAAUAAUUAAAACAACUAAACAUAGCACUCAAAUAACUCCAUAAAAAGCAAAAAGUCUAAAAACCCAUUACCUAACAAAGAUAGCAAGAAAUCUUUGUGCAAAUCGUCAAGAGAGAACCUGUGAAACGCUGAACACAAAAGUACAAAAAAAAGGAAAAAAAAACAAUUAAAAUUCGAUGCUCAAAACGAAAUAACAUUACACACGGUAGACUAACAACAUCACAGUAGCAGGGAAAUAACAGAAGCUAAAAAGCAAAACAAAUACAAAGACAAAAAACAGAACAAAAAAGAGAACAAAACUUACAAACCUAGAUUUGGAAGCAGCAAAAACACAAAUGGGACAACCCAGAACUCCAAAACAAAAGAAAACAACUAAAGAGAGAGAAAUAAGAAAGGAAAGCUAAAAUGGAAAAGGUGAGGGAUGAUCGACACGUGGCGGAAGCUAAACCGAAAGCCAAAAAAACCAGCAAAACCAAAAACAACAAAAAGCAUCUUUCCCACAGGAAGAAGAGGCGG
rnacentral:lncRNA from 1 species